GGGGAGUGCGCGCAGGAUGGGUCGGUCGGAGGUGGAGGGGGAAGGCAAGCACGGCCGUGGAGGUGUCUAUAGUCAUACCAGUGCAUAACGCCUCCUGCUGGCUGGAUGAGUGUCUGCAGGGGAUUGUGGACCAGGACUACACUGGCUCUAUGGAACUGUCUGUCUACGAUGAUGCCAGCACUGAUGGUUCCAGAGCGAUAGUGGAGGGAUGGAGGGAGAGGCUGGAAAAGAGAGGUGUUUCCAUGGUGAUCUCUGGCCAUGACUCCGCCCAACCCAGGGGAGUGGGUCAUGCCAAGAACCAGGCUGUGUCUCAGAGCUCAGGAAAGUACCUCUGCUUUCAGGACGCUGUGAGUCACAACACAACGUAUGUUAACCUGUCUCCUGUGUGUUUGUCUGUGAGAUCAUGUGUGUGUCAGUAUGUGGGAGAGAGAGGUGGUGUGUGUGUGUGUGUGUGUGUGUGUGUGUGUGUGUGUGUGUGUGUGUGUGUGUGUGUGUGUGUGUGUGUGUGUGUGUGUGUUGUGUGAGGGUCUGGAGGG